UAAUUGAUGUUUAGAGAGAAAACUACUUCAUAGCCCAUAUAUGUAUUGAAAGUGAAAAGUGAAAGUGAAAUUGCUCAGUCGUGUCCGACUCUUUGCAACCCCAUGGACUGUAGCCUACCAGGCUCCUCAGUCCAUGGAAUUUUCCAGGCAAGAGUACUGGAAUGGGUUGCCAUUUCCUUCUCCAGGGGAUCUUCCCAACCCAGGGAUCAACCUGGGUCUCCCGCACUGCAGGCAGAUGCUUUACCGUCUAAGCCACCAAGGAAGCUAAAUCUAUAUUCAAAGGUGUAAACAAGAACACAAUUGCUGCUGCUGCUAAGUUGCUUCAGUCGUGUCCGACUCUGUGCGACCACAUAGACGGCCGCCCACCAGGCUCCCCCGUCCCUGGGAUUCUCCAGGCAAGAACACUGGAGUGGGUUGCCAUUUCCUUCUCCAAUGCAUUAAAGUGAAAAGUCAAAGUGAAGUCGCUCAGUCGUGUCCGACUCUCAAUGACCCCAUAGACUGCAGCCCUCCAGGCUCCUCUGUCCGUGGGAUUUUCCAGGCAAGAGUACUGGAGUGGGGUGCCAUUGCCUUCUCUCACAAUUGCUAUAUAACCCUAAUUAAUUGAACAUUGUGUAGUGACUCUCACUUUCCUAUUUAUAUAUAUUUGAAAAUUUGAGGCUGUUUAUGUUUUAUGUAUGUUAUUUGUAAAUAGCAUACUGUGGGAUGUUAUUUGAUUUUCCAUUUGGGUUUUCCAUACUUUUGUUUAACCAACAAGUUUAGUCCUUUGAUAACUGAUAUAUUUUGACUUAUUUCUUCAACUUACUUAGUGUUUAAUCAUUGCCCCACUUUUUAAGAACUUUAUCCCUCUAAUUUUAUAUAACAAUUGAAAAUGUUUCUUUUACCUUGGGACUCUUUCACUUUUUCAACUCUAAUCUGUUUUUAUAGAUUAUUCUGUUCAUGAUUUUACUUUCUGUUUUGUAAUCCAAUACAUUUGAUGUUAUUAUUAUACAGAUAACUUUUAUUUAGAUUUUUAAAAAUUUAAAAUAUCUGGCUGGUUUAAAUAACAAAAAUUUGUUGUCUCACAGUUUUGGCGCUAGUGACAAAGAACCCACGUUCUAAUGCAGGCGAUAUAAGAGACAUGGGUUGGAUCCCUGGGUCAGGAAGAUGUACAGGAGGAAGGCACAGCAAACCACUCCAAUAUUCAUGCCUGGAGAAUCCCAUGGACAGAGGAGUCUGGCAGGCUGUGGUCCAUAGGGCUGCAAAAAGUCGACAUGACUGAAAUGACUUAGCAUAUGGUUUUGAAAGCAAG
rnacentral:tRNA from 1 species